rnacentral:sRNA from 1 species
GCAUUUUUAUCAUGUCUAUUGAUAUUACAAUAUGAUUUUUGUAAUAUACAGGUAUGUAUACUUUAUUAUCAUAUUUAGAGCAUGCCUAGUAGAAAUGAGUAAGAAUUUCAAGUUUGAAUCAAAUCUGGAAUAUAAACUAGAUAGCUUUAUAUUUUGUUAGGUACAACUUUUAGAUUUAAGUUUUUACAUUCAGUGAAUCCAUAUAGUGAAUGGUGUUCUUCAACUACCUGGUAUAUCAAAUACAUGUAUAUAUAUACACAUACACAGGGUUGUCUCUAAAAAUUGAAGUAGAAGGAGGAAAUGAAAAAGUAGCAGGGGGUUUGGGGGUUUUCCUUAUAGCACAUUGUGUUUGAAAUGCAUAAUAGCCGGGUAAUUAAGACAUAUAGCGGGGAAUGUCUUGAGAAGCUACUGUUAUUGGUAGUAUCGAUCGUUCAGACAUGAGGAUGAAUACAGUACAUAACAUGAUCAUUGUCUUGAAGUCAUAACUACCUGAGAUGAAUUGGAUCCAACAUUACCUCCAAUAUCUUUGAAAAUGAUUACAUACAAUGUCUGUGAUCUACUUUUACUUGUAAAUACUAGGGAUCUACUACUGAAUGGGAUACAUGUACCUUAUUUUACUUUUUCACAUAGUAUGUGUACCAUGAAUCUGCAUGUAAUACCAUGGAUCUUCAUUUAGGUAUCAAAAAUACCUACUUUUACAUUUAAAUUGUAUGUAAUAUUUAUAUGAAACAAACAAACUAGUUACUGCUUGCCCUAUACUUAUUGUUUUAGUUACAGUAAAUACAUGUACUGGUAUUCUGUUGUCUGCAAAAUUUAGGCAUUGAAUGCACGUAUUCAUGCAGUAUUUUAUUUGUAAUAAAAUGUACAUAUAUCAAUGAAUUACAUGUAAAUAAAACGUUAAAUAA